rnacentral:rRNA from 1 species
CCUACGGGGCGCAGCAGUGAGGAAUAUUGGUCAAUGGGCGCGAGCCUGAACCAGCCAAGUCGCGUGAGGGAGGACGGCCCUACGGGUUGUAAACCUCUUUUGCCGGGGAGCAACGGGCGUCACGUGUGGCGCCACUGAGAGUACCCGGAGAAAAAGCAUCGGCUAACUCCGUGCCAGCAGCCGCGGUAAUACGGAGGCUGCGAGCGUUAUCCGGAUUUAUUGGGUUUAAAGGGUGCGUAGGCGGAUCGUUAAGUCAGUGGUCAAAUUGAGGGGCUCAACCCCUUCCCGCCAUUGAAACUGGCGUUCUUGAGUGGAAGAGAAGUAUGCGGAAUGCGUGGUGUAGCGGUGAAAUGCAUAGAUAUCACGCAGAACCCCGAUUGCGAAGGCAGCAUGCCGGCUUCCGACUGACGCUGAAGCACGAAAGCGUGGAGAUCGAACAGGAUUAGAUACCCUUGUAGUC